rnacentral:rRNA from 1 species
UUUAAGUUGGGCCCGCUCACUGUCUUUUAAGAGCCGCGGUAUCUUACCUGUGCUAAGGUAGCAUAAUCAUUUGUUAUUUAAUUGAUAACUUGUAUAAAAGGUUUGACGAGAAAAUAGCUUUCUAUUUGUUUACUAUAAAAAUUAUAUUAAAGUAAAAAAGCUUUAUUUUCUCAAAAAGACGAUAAGACCCUAGAACCUUUAUCUAAAGAUUUUAUUGGGGUGAUAUAAACCUUAACAGCUUAUAAAAUUAACCUACUGAAGGGUAACAAAUAACUUUUUUUAAAAAAAAAAGGGGCCUCUAGGGAUAACAGCAUAACCCCUUUUGAGAGACCUUAUCAACAAAUGGGAUUUUGACCU